CCUACGGGUGGCUGCAGUGGGGAAUAUUGCACAAUGGGGGAAACCCUGAUGCAGCAACGCCGCGUGGGUGAAGGAGCGUUUCGGCGCGUAAAGCCCUGUCAGCGGGGAAGAAGAAAGACGGUACCCGACCAAGAAGCCCCGGCUAACUACGUGCCAGCAGCCGCGGUAAUACGUAGGGGGCGAGCGUUAUCCGGAAUUACUGGGUGUAAAGGGAGCGUAGACGGCAGUGCAAGUCUGGAGUGAAAGGCGGGGGCUCAACCCCCGGACUGCUCUGGAAACUGUACGGCUGGAGUGCAGGAGAGGUAAGUGGAAUUCCUAGUGUAGCGGUGAAAUGCGUAGAUAUUAGGAGGAACACCAGUGGCGAAGGCGGCUUACUGGACUGUAACUGACGUUGAGGCUCGAAAGUGUGGGGAGCAAACAGGAUUAGAUACCCUUGUAGUC
rnacentral:rRNA from 1 species